rnacentral:rRNA from 1 species
GAUGAACGCUGGCGGCGUGCCUAAUACAUGCAAGUCGAGCGAACAGACGAGGAGCUUGCUCCUCUGACGUUAGCGGCGGACGGGUGAGUAACACGUGGAUAACCUACCUAUAAGACUGGGAUAACUUCGGGAAACCGGAGCUAAUACCGGAUAAUAUAUUGAACCGCAUGGUUCAAUAGUGAAAGACGGUUUUGCUGUCACUUAUAGAUGGAUCCGCGCCGCAUUAGCUAGUUGGUAAGGUAACGGCUUACCAAGGCAACGAUGCGUAGCCGACCUGAGAGGGUGAUCGGCCACACUGGAACUGAGCCCCGGUCCAGACUCCUACGGGAGGCAGCAGUAGGGAAUCUGCCGCAAUGGGCGAAAGCCUGACGGAGCAACGCCGCGUGAGUGAUGAAGGUCUUCGGUUCGUAAAACUCUGUUAUUAGGGAAGAACAAAUGUGUAAGUAACUAUGCUCGUCUUGACGGUACCUAAGCAGAAAGCCACGGCUACCUACGU